UUUCUCUGUGCUGUGUAUUCAGUCGUUACAAAGUAGCAGUCUUUGAUUUAUAAAGUAUCUGUCAGGUUGGUUCUAAAUAGAUCUGAAUCUCUUACAUAGAAUAGUGCAGACAGAUCAGAAAAAUGUAUCGGUAAAAGAAAAAACGGGUUUUAUUCUUUAGAACAGAUCUGCUGUAUUUCUGAGCUCCUAUUGUAUAGUUAACGUUGUAAGAAGC